GUAGAGCACUGUAUGGCCUAGGGGGCGUAUAGCUUACCGAAGUCAAGCAAACUGCGAAUACCGUAUAUUGUUUACCGGGAGUGAGUCUAUGGAUGACAAGGUCCGUGGACGAGAGGGGAACAGCCCGGACCGCCGGCUAAGGUCCCAAAUCAUGUCUAAGUGGGAAAGGAGGUGGAUAUUCACAGACAACCAGGAGGUUGGCUUAGAAGCAGCCAUACCUUGAAAGAGUGCGUAANNNNNNNNNNUUUAAGCUAAUUGGUAGGAGAGCGUUCUGUAGGCCGAAGAAGGUAUGUUGGAAGGCAUAUUGGAGGUAUCAGAAGUGAGAAUGCAGGAAUGAGUAGCGAGAAGGAGGGUGAGAAUCCCUCCGGCCGGAAGUCCAAGGUUUCCAGGGGAAGGUUUGUCCGCCCUGGGGGAGUCGGGACCUAAGCAUAAGCAGAGCUGCGAAGGCGAAUGGAAAACAGGUUAAUAUUCCUGUACCGCUGUGUACUGUCUGAGAGAUGGAGUGACGCAGGAAGGUAUGCGGGAAGGCUGACGGAAUAGCCUUUCU
rnacentral:rRNA from 1 species